CCUACGGGAGGCAGCAGUGGGGAAUAUUGGACAAUGGAGGGAACCCUGAUCCAGCCAUGCCGCGUGUGUGAAGAAGGCCCUCGGGUUGUAAAGCACUUUCAGUGAGGAAGAACGCCUGGUGGUUAAUACCCAUCAGGAAAGACAUCACUCACAGAAGAAGCACCGGCUAACUCCGUGCCAGCAGCCGCGGUAAUACGGAGGGUGCGAGCGUUAAUCGGAAUUACUGGGCGUAAAGCGCGCGUAGGUGGCUUGAUAAGCCGGUUGUGAAAGCCCCGGGCUCAACCUGGGAACGGCAUCCGGAACUGUCAAGCUAGAGUGCAGGAGAGGAAGGUAGAAUUCCCGGUGUAGCGGUGAAAUGCGUAGAGAUCGGGAGGAAUACCAGUGGCGAAGGCGGCCUUCUGGACUGACACUGACACUGAGGUGCGAAAGCGUGGGUAGCAAACAGGAUUAGAUACCCCUGUAGUC
rnacentral:rRNA from 1 species